rnacentral:lncRNA from 1 species
AUGUCAAAAAAAGAAAUCAAAUUGCCUAUUCAUUAGAAGAAGGAAAAAUUACAGAAUGAUUAUUGGAGGAUAUAUACAUCUUUAUACAACACGAUAAAUAAACAGGUAAAUAGGCAUAUUCUCAAUGUACUAUGGCACACUCUUAUCCAGCCCCUGGCCUUAUCAUCUCCCCAAACUCCUCAUCGGUGCUCUUGAGCAUCAGUCGCAGAGGAAUUUUGACCCCACUUUGCACAACCUCGACGUGCCUUGGCUUAAUUCGCUUAUCC